rnacentral:rRNA from 1 species
UACGGAGGGUGCGAGCGUUGUCCGGAAUCAUUGGGCGUAAAGAGCGCGUAGGCGGCCCAGUAAGUCCGCUCUGAAAGUCAGGGGCUCAACCCCUGGAUGCGGGUGGAUACUGCUGGGCUAGAGUCCGGAAGAGGUGAGUGGAAUUCCUGGUGUAGCGGUGAAAUGCGCAGAUAUCAGGAGGAACACCGAUGGCGAAGCAGCUCACU